UACAGAGGGGGCAAGCGUUGUUCGGAAUUACUGGGCGUAAAGGGCGCGUAGGCGGCCUUCUAAGUCGAACGUGAAAUCCCCGGGCUCAACCCGGGAACUGCGUCCGAUACUGGAAGGCUUGAAUCCGGGAGAGGGAUGCGGAAUUCCAGGUGUAGCGGUGAAAUGCGUAGAUAUCGAGAGGAACACCUGCGGCGAAGGCAGGUUGCUGGGCUGAUACUGACGCUGAGGCGCGAAAGCCAGGGGAGCGAACGGG
rnacentral:rRNA from 1 species